CAUCAUCAUCAUGAGUCCUGAUCAUCAUCAUCAUCAUGAGUCCUGAUCAUCAUCACCAUGAGUCCUGAUCAUCAUCAUCAUCAUCAUGAGUCCUUAUCAUCAUCAUCAUCGAGUCCUGAUCAUCAUCAUCAUCAUGAGUCCUCAUCAUCAUCAUGAGUCCUCAUCAUCAUCAUCAUGAGUCCUGAUCAUCAACAUCAUCAUGAGUCCUGAUCAUCAUCAUCAUGAGUCCUGAUCAUCAUCAUCAUCAUGAGUCCUGAUCAUCAUCAUCAUACAUCAUGAGUACUGCCUCAUACAUCAUCAUCAUGAAGCCU
rnacentral:lncRNA from 1 species